rnacentral:rRNA from 1 species
UACGGAGGAUGCAAGCGUUAUCCGGAUUCAUUGGGUUUAAAGGGUGCGCAGGUGGGCUUGUAAGUCAGUGGUGAAAUGCUGCCGCUUAACGGUAGAAUUGCCAUUGAUACUGUGAGUCUUGAGUAUGGUUGAGGUAGGCGGAAUGUGCAGUGUAGCGGUGAAAUGCAUAGAUAUUGCACAGAACUCCGAUUGCGAAGGCAGCUUACUAAGCCAUUACUGACGCUGAGGCACGAAAGCGUGGGUAGCGAACAGG